rnacentral:rRNA from 1 species
AACGACUCUCGGCAACGGAUAUCUCGGCUCUCGCAUCGAUGAAGAACGUAGCGAAAUGCGAUACUUGGUGUGAAUUGCAGAAUCCCGUGAACCAUCGAGUCUUUGAACGCAAGUUGCGCCCGAAAGCCUUCCGGCCGAGGGCACGUCUGCCUGGGCGUCACGC